rnacentral:rRNA from 1 species
AUACGGAGGGUGCAAGCGUUAUUCGGAAUUACUGGGCGUAAAGGGCGCGUAGGCGGCGCAUUAAGUCAGUUGUGAAAGCCCGGGGCUCAACCCCGGAAGUGCAAUUGAAACUGGUGUGCUUGAGUAUGGUAGAGGGAAGUGGAAUUCCUGGUGUAGCGGUGAAAUGCGUAGAUAUCAGGAGGAACACCCGUGGCGAAGGCGACUUCCUGGACCAAUACUGACGCUGAGGCGCGAAGGCGUGGGGAGCAAACAGGAUUAGAAACCCUAGUAGUCC